rnacentral:rRNA from 1 species
AUGGCCACCAAGCGCGCGUACAAGCUCCAGGAGUUUGUUGCGCAUGCUUCGGAUGUCACUUGUGCCAAGUUUGGGAAGCGAACAUCAAGAACUCUCAUCACUGGUGGGGAGGAUCAGAAGGUCAAUCUUUGGGCUGUAGGGAAACCUAGCGCUGUCCUGAGCCUCUCAGGCCAUACAAGUCCAGUUGAGUCACUGAGCUUUGAUUCCUCUGAGGUUAUGAUAGGUGCCGGAGCAGCAACCGGAACAAUAAAAAUAUGGGAUAUCAAGGAAGCAAAAGUUGUUCGAACUUUCACUGGGCAUAGAUCAAAUUGCGCCUCUCUUGAUUCCCAUCCUUUUGGAGAAUUUUUUGCGUCUGGGUCUUCAGAUACAAACAUGAAAAUAUGGGACAUGCGGAAGAAGAGAUGCAUUCACACAUACCAGGGUCAUACCGGGAGGAUUGAUGUGCUUAGAUUCACUCCUGAUGGUCGGUGGAUUGUUUCUGGUGGGGCUGAUAGUUCUGUGAAGAUCUGGGAUUUGACAGCUGGAAAGCUCUUGCAUGACUUUAGGCUUCAUGAAGGCCCAAUUAACUGUUUAGAUUUUCACCCCCACGAGUUCUUACUGGCCACAGGUUCAGCUGAUAAAACUGUUAAAUUUUGGGACCUUGAGACUUUUGAGUUGAUUGGAUCUUCUGGACCGGAGAAUUAUCGGGAAUACUAUAUGCCGGCUAGUGUAGUUCGUUCUAUGACAUUCAACAGUGAUGGCAAAGCACUUUUUUGUGGAUUACAUGAAAACUUGAAGGUUCUUUCAUGGGAACCUAUCAUAUGUCAUGAUGCAGUUGAUGUUGGCUGGUCAACAUUAGCAGAUCUAAAUGUACAAGAGGGAAAACUUCUUGGUUGCUCAUAUAACCAAAGUUGUGUGGGAAUAUGGGUUGUGGACUUGAUGAAAUUUGAUCCAUACACUGUCGGUAGUGCGGAAGCAUUUUGGAAUGGAACUGGUAAUGGGCCAUUACAAGCUGAUAAUAGCAUAUCAUCAAUGCUGGGAAGUUUAUCGAUUUCCAGAAGACCAGAAGCCAAUGAAACUCCAUCCAGUACAUUGCUUAAGCGCCCGAUGUCUAUGUCGAAAGAAACUUCUGUACCAGUUUCUUCUGCAGUGAGGAAGAGAUUAUCAAAAGCACCUGGAAUAAAUAAUCUUCGGCUGACAAGAGCUGAAUCUGCACCUCUUCUUUCUCCUAGGGUUAGAUUGAAGCCAAAUUCUACUGACCACCAGAAGAGACACAUAGCUAAUGUUCGCUUCAAAGUGGAUCUCUCUACAAGUGCCAGAAUGAUCGCUGGUAACUCACAGGCUUCUGCUGCUCCCACAUAUAUAACUAGGUCCAAUAUAUUUGCAUGUAGUAGUGAAGGAUCCGCUUUCGUGCCUGGUGUUGUCCCAAGGCAUGUUUCUAAAGUGGAUGCUGGUUCCAAUCUCAGUGAAGCUGCCGCUGCUGACUUACCAGGUCAUCUGGCUGUGGAUCAUGACAAAGAUGUUCAUCGCUGCAUAUUUCAGUCAAAACCAAUUACUUCAAAAACUCCACAAAGGAAAUUUAUAAGAGAAACAUCAAGUAAUGGGGACAUUAACUGUUUUGGACCAUUGUGCACUGAAAGUGUUCAGUCUAACAAAGUUGAUGACUGGUAUGAUGUUUGUGGUUUUGAAGAAACAAAAUCAGCAGUUGGAAGGAAUCCACAAUUUGUGAAUGUUAACAGAGCAGUAGUGUUUGGAUCGAGCCAACUGGUGGAUCGAGGAACGGGACAUUUAUGUGCGAGUUACGAGAGAAGCGAGUACGCACCAACGUCAGAUGGCUUGAGACAAUCUUCAUUUGCUGGAGAACGCAGUGCAUCGGCUAAUGAUGACGAUCUUAUAGCUGACCUAAUGCAAAACCAUCAAGAAUUCAUUCAUGGCGUGAAGUCGCGGCUGACAAAACUAGAGCUUGUGUACCGCUGUUGGCAAAAUAACGAUAUCAAGGGCUCUGUCAGUGCUAUGCGAAGAAUGUCGGAUCAUGCUGUUACUGCUGAUAUAAUUAAUGUUCUUAUUAUGGAAAAGAGUACCAAGUAUAUUACACUAGACAUUUGCGCUUCUGUUUUACCUCUCGCCUCCAAUCUUCUUGAAAGCGGAUAUGACAGACAUUUGAACGUUGCCUUGGCGAUGAUCCUUAACCUUGUCAAAAGCUUCCGUGCAUCAAUCUUUUCUACUUUGUCGUCUACUCCACCAGCCUGUGUAGACCUCGAAGCAGAGCACCGGUUGGAACGCUGCAGUAUAUGCUUUCAAGAGCUGGAAAAGAUAAAUGCAAGUCUCAUCUCCUUGACAAGGCGAGAAGGCAAGGUUGGGAGAUCAGCACGGGAGCUGAGCCUCCUCCUUCAGGAUAUCUUCAAGACACCAAGCAGUGUAUAA